rnacentral:RNase_P_RNA from 1 species
GGCAGGGUAAACCCCACCUGAAGUAAGACCAAAUAGGGAUCCAUUGGUGUGACCCGCAUCGGAUCCGGGUAGGUUGCUUGAGCAGAGUGGUGACGCUUUGCCUAGACGAAUGACUGUCCACGACAGAAUCCGGCUUACCGGCCAGCCUUAUUU